AGGGAUAGGGCGGGGCAAGGAGGCGAGGAAGGAAAAAAAGCGACAAGUGAAGACUGACAUCCAUUAAGGUCAAUGGUAGCUCAAUCUUCGGUUCUCUGACUCCCAAGCUUCCCAUUCUCUUAGGAGGCUGCAUUUGUGGCGCUAAAAAAAGGGAUGGGCGUGGGAGAUUCCAGGACAUGUGCUCGCUGAAGAUACAACUGUUAGUCCAAGGUAACUCCCACUCGUAGUGGCUCAACCCUCUUUGUCAAUUCACCUUCCUCUAAGUUAACUAUGGCUGCUCCACCUGUCUUUAGGGAAACCUACUCCCCAUCGCGCUGGGUAUUUUGGAUUUUUUAAAAGCGUCGCGGGGUAAAGUCAGUGUUGUGCUUUUCCUUUUCUCAGCAGGUAAGUAUUUCUGGCGCUGACAGCGGAGAGCUGCCGGGCGGGAAUAGGGGUGAAGAGAGAAUAGGGAGAGAGAUAACAGGUGUGAAGCGUCCCUCAAUGCCAGGCAUCCUGCUUUGGCACCUUCAGUAAGUUUGUCUGAAUCAUCUUUCUAUUGAAUUCACUUUCUGUUUCACAGAUUAGGAAACCUCAACUAAGUGGCCCAAGGACAGUCCUUGGAUAAUUUUAACUUGUGUCAGAAACCAAAGCCUAAGGUCUUUUAUUUUGCAGAGGCUGCUUUGGCAGGAUUUCAAUGCAUGCAGGUCCUGCGAAUCACUGCUCCUCACUCACUGAUCCAUCCCGCUGUCCACACAUUCAUUCACCCAUUCAUUUCUUAGGGGCUCAUCUGCAAGGCGUGGGGCUGGAUGAUACUAAAAA
ensembl:lncRNA novel transcript